GACGUAGGGGGCAAGCGUUGGCCGGAAUUAUUGGGCGUAGAGCGCGCGCGGGCGGUCCUUUAAGUUUGAUGUGAAAUCUUGCGGCUCAACCGCAAGCGGUCAUUGGAAACUGGGGGACUUGAGUACAGAAGAGGAGAGCGGAAUUCCACGUGUAGCGGUGAAAUGCGUAGAGAUGUGGAGGAUCACCAGUGGCGAAGGCGGCUCUCUGGUCUGUAACUGACGCUGAGGCGCGAAAGCGUGGGGAGCAAACAGG
rnacentral:misc_RNA from 1 species